rnacentral:lncRNA from 1 species
CCCCAUUUCUCCCCAAAAACCCUAGAAAUCCUCCAAAACCAAAACAAAAACCUUGAUUUCCGUCAAAUUUUUCUCCGAUCAAAUAAAAGGAUGCGUCUUUUGCUCGAAAUCCUAGUCUCCGCCCUUUCGAACGGUGCAAUUUGAUACCGAUUUUGUGGGAAUUGGACCAAUUUCUCUACUUUUUUUUUUUUCCUAAUUUUUACCCGAGCUUGGAACCCUAGAUUUUCGUCAGAUUUUUCUCCCUUCGCAUCAAAUAAUGCAUGUCUUAGUCGAAACCCUAAUCUUCUCUGUUUCGAACUGUUCAAUUUGAUCCUGAUUUUGCAAAUUUGGGCCAAUUUCUCUACUUUCCAUUCCCAAUUUUUACCAUAUUUUUACCAGAGCGAGAAACCUAGAUUUUGCGUCAGAUUUUCUCCGUUCGCAUCGAAGGCCAAAACUCUUGUAAAAAAAACAAAACCCUAAUCUCCGCCUUUCGACCGGUGCAAUCUCUUCCCAGUUUCGCCAAAUUUAGGCCAAAUUCUCCACCUUUUUCCUCUUUUUUUUUUUUUUUUUUUUUUUUUUUNUGUACUCAUUUUCACUUAAAAUUGUUAGCAUUUAAACAUUAUAUGAAUAUAAGAUUAUUCAACCAUGGCUACAUAAAUUUUGUUCAUUGUUAUUAUUUAGUGUGCAUUAUUGAACAUGCUGAGCAACCCCAUAGAGCUUGUAGAGUUUUACUCCACAAUUUAUCCCAUUUGUUUUUUUUUUUUCCUUUUUAAAUUUUUGUGGGUUAUUUGAUCCGCGGCCAUCCGAACUUUCGCUUGAAUUUUGAAAUUUUAUAUGUCAAACCAAAAUUUUUAAAAUUUUACAUUCGGCUGUGUAGAUUUAUAUUUUAAGAAUUUAAAGUGACUAAUAUAAGCCAAAUAAUGAAGAAAUAAUAAAAAGAAUAUGUCCGCAAUAUAGAAUAAUUUUUUUGACAUCAAAUUGAAUCCAAUAAACAUUGACCUUUAGUAUUUGACUUUUUAUAAAUCAAAUAUAAUAAGUACGGUCAAUUUUAUCCGUUACGCUGGUAUAUAAUUUAUAUUAUUUUUACCAAUUAGAUAAUAUUAAUUAUUUAAAAUUGAUGAAAUAUGAAUCAAAAUGGUUAAUUAUAAAAUUUUUAAAUUUGGGAAGGUAAAUCUAAAAUUUUGAAAAUUUAGAGCAAAAGUUGGAAUUGAUAGGAUAAUAUUUAAUGCUUUCUAUUUAAAAUUUUUAAAAUUUUUAAUUUUGUAGCUAUUGCAUCAUAUUUUAUGUCGUUCUCUUGUUACUACACUUCUCCAAUAACUUCCCAAUAACACCCCCAAUGAAACUUAAUUACCACACCCGUAUAGUUUGGGGGAGUUAUUCGGAGCCCCACAAUUUCCCCCAUUCCGUACACAUUGGGGUAGUUGUUGGGUUAGUUCUCAUCUCUCCGUGGACUCGUCCCCUCUCUCGCCCCAUUUCUCCCCAAAAACCCUAGAAAUCCUCCAAAACCAAAACAAAAACCUUGAUUUCCGUCAAAUUUUUCUCCGAUCAAAUAAAAGAAUGCGUCUUUUGCUCGAAAUCCUAGUCUCCGCCCUUUCGAACGGUGCAAUUUGAUACCGAUUUUGUGGGAAUUGGACCAAUUUCUCCACUUUUUUUUUUUUCCUAAUUUUUACCCGAGCUUGGAACCCUAGAUUUUCGUCAGAUUUUUCUCCCUUCGCAUCAAAAUAAUGCAUCUCUUAGUCGAAACCUUAAUCUUCUCCGUUUCGAACGGUUCAAUUUGAUCCUGAUUUUGCAAAUUUGGGCCAAUUUCUCUACUUUCCAUUCCCAAUUUUUACCAUAUUUUUACCAGAGCGAGAAACCUAGAUUUUGCGUCAGAUUUUCUCCGUUCGCAUCGAAGACCGAAUCUCUUGUAAAAAGAACAAAACCCUAAUCUCCGCCUUUCGACCGGUGCAAUCUCUUCCCAGUUUCGCCAAAUUUAGGCCAAAUUCUCCACCUUUUUCCUCUUUUUUUUUUUUUUUUUUUUUUUUUUUUUUUUUUUUUUUAUUUNNN